GAACGGGUGAGUAACACGUGUGGUGAUCUGCCCUGCACUUUGGGAUAAGCCUGGGAAACUGGGUCUAAUACCGGAUAGGACUACGCACUGCAUGGUGUGUGGUGGAAAGCUUUUGCGNNNUGGGAUGNNNNNNNGGCCUAUCAGCUUGUUGGUGGGGUGAUGGCCUACCAAGGCGACGACGGGUAGCCGGCCUGAGAGGGUGACCGGCCACACUGGGACUGAGAUACGGCCCAGACUCCUACGGGAGGCAGCAGUGGGGAAUAUUGCACAAUGGGCGCAAGCCUGAUGCAGCGACGCCGCGUGAGGGAUGACGGCCUUCGGGUUGUAAACCUCUUUCGCCAGGGACGAAGCGCAAGUGACGGUACCUGGAGAAGAAGGACCGGCCAACUACGUGCCAGCAGCCGCGGUAAUACGUAGGGUCCGAGCGUUGUCCGGAAUUACUGGGCGUAAAGAGCUCGUAGGUGGUUUGUCGCGUUGUUCGUGAAAACUCACAGCUUAACUGUGGGCGUGCGGGCGAUACGGGCAGACUGGAGUACUGCAGGGGAGACUGGAAUUCCUGGUGUAGCGGUGGAAUGCGCAGAUAUCAGGAGGAACACCGGUGGCGAAGGCGGGUCUCUGGGCAGUAACUGACGCUGAGGAGCGAAAGCGUGGGGAGCGAACAGGAUUAGAUACCCUGGUAGUCCACGCCGUAAACGGUGGGUACUAGGUGUGGGUUUCCUUCCUUGGGAUCCGUGCCGUAGCUAACGCAUUAAGUACCCCGCCUGGGGAGUACGGCCGCAAGGCUAAAACUCAAAGGAAUUGACGGGGGCCCGCACAAGCGGCGGAGCAUGUGGAUUAAUUCGAU
rnacentral:rRNA from 1 species